AUAUCCGUCAUCUGGGAAUCUUGCUAAAUACAGUUUCUAAUGCUACAGCAUGGGUUUGAGGUGAGUUCAGAGACUGCAUUUUCUAACAAGUUUCCAGAUACUGUUAAC
rnacentral:pre_miRNA from 1 species